rnacentral:rRNA from 1 species
UGGUAAUGCCGGAUGCUCCAUCACACCGCAUGGUGUGUUGGGAAAGCCUUUGCGGCAUGGGAUGGGGUCGCGUCCUAUCAGCUUGAUGGCGGGGUAACGGCCCACCAUGGCUUCGACGGGUAGCCGGCCUGAGAGGGCGACCGGCCACAUUGGGACUGAGAUACGGCCCAGACUCCUACGGGAGGCAGCAGUGGGGAAUAUUGCACAAUGGGCGCAAGCCUGAUGCAGCGACGCCGCGUGAGGGAUGGAGGCCUUCGGGUUGUAAACCUCUUUUGUUAGGGAGCAAGGCAUUUUGUGUUGAGUGUACCUUUCGAAUAAGCACCGGCUAACUACGUGCCAGCAGCCGCGGUAAUACGUAGGGUGCAAGCGUUAUCCGGAAUUAUUGGGCGUAAAGGGCUCGUAGGCGGUUCGUCGCGUCCGGUGUGAAAGUCCAUCGCUUAACGGUGGAUCCGCGCCGGGUACGGGCGGGCUUGAGUGCGGUAGGGGAGACUGGAAUUCCCGGUGUAACGGUGGAAUGUGUAGAUAUCGAAAAAAAAACACCA